AUCCAUCUGACGAGUCCCAAAUUGGACGAAAUGCCCGUCAUGGAU
rnacentral:hammerhead_ribozyme from 1 species